UACGUAGGGGGCAGGCGUUAUCCGGAUUUACUGGGUGUAAAGGGAGCGCAGGCGGUAUGGCAAGUCAGAUGUGAAAACCCAGGGCCCAACCCCGGGACUGCAUUGGAAACUGGCAUGCUGGAGUGCCGGAGGGGCAAGCGGAAUUCCUAGUGUAGCGGUGAAAUGCGUAGAUAUUAGGAGGAACACCAGUGGCGAAGGCGGCUCUCUGGUCUGUAACUGACGCUGAGGCUCGAAAGCAUGGGUAGCGAACAGG
rnacentral:rRNA from 1 species